AAUAUGUGACAAUGGGGGCAACCCUGAUCCAGCCAUUCCGCGUGUGUGAAGAAGGUCUUCGGAUUGUAAAGCACUUUAAGUUGGGAGGAAGGGCUUUAGGUUAAUACCCUGAAGUUUUGACGUUACCAACCGAAUAAGCCCCGGCUAACUCUGUGCCAGCAGCCGCGGUAAUACAGAGGGUACAAGCGUUAAUCGGAAUGACUGGGCGUAAAGCGCGCGUAGGUGGUUCAGUAAGAUGGGUGUGAAAUCCCCGGGAUUAACCUGGGAACUGCUUUCAUAACUGCUGAGCUAGAGUACGGUAGAGGGUAGUGAAAUUUCCUGUGUAGCGGUGAAAUGCGUAGAUAUAGGAAGGAACACCAGUGGCGAAGGCGACUACCUGGACUGAUACUGACACUGAGGUGCGAAAGCGUGGGGAGCAAAC
rnacentral:rRNA from 1 species